rnacentral:rRNA from 1 species
UACGAAGGGGGCUAGCGUUGUUCGGAAUCACUGGGCGUAAAGGGCGCGUAGGCGGUUGCUUAAGUUAGAUGUGAAAGUCCUGGGCUUAACCUGGGAACUGCAUUUAAUACUGGGUAACUGGAGGACGAGAGAGGAGAGUGGAAUUAUGAGUGUAGAGGUGAAAUUCGUAGAUAUUCAUAAGAACACCGGUGGCGAAGGCGACUCUCUGGCUCGUAUCUGACGCUAAGGCGCGAAAGCGUGGGGAGCAAACAGG